rnacentral:pre_miRNA from 1 species
CAAGUACUCCCUCUGUCCGGAAUUACUUGUCAUCAAAAUGGAUGUGUCUAGAACUAAAAUACAUCUAGAUACAUCCAUUUCAAUGACAAGUAAUUUCGGACGGAGGGAGUACACG